rnacentral:rRNA from 1 species
GACGAACGCUGGCGGCGUGCCUAAUACAUGCAAGUCGAGCGAAUCAAUGGGAGCUUGCUCCCUGAGAUUAGCGGCGGACGGGUGAGUAACACGUGGGUAACCUGCCUGUAAGACUGGGAUAACUUCGGGAAACCGGAGCUAAUACCGGAUACGUUCUUUUCUCGCAUGAGGAGAGAUGGAAAGAUGGUUCUGCUAUCACCUACAGAUGGACCCGCGGCGCAUUAGCUAGUUGGUGAGGUAACGGCUCACCAAGGCGACGAUGCGUAGCCGACCUGAGAGGGUGAUCGGCCACACUGGGACUGAGACACGGCCCAGACUCCUACGGGAGGCAGCAGUAGGGAAUCUUCCGCAAUGGACGAAAGUCUGACGGAGCAACGCCGCGUGAGCGAAGAAGGCCUUCGGGUCGUAAAGCUCUGUUGUUAGGGAAGAACAAGUACGAGAGUAACUGCUCGUACCUUGACGGUACCUAACCAGAAAGCCACGGCUAACUACGUGCCAGCCGCUGCGGUAA